UACGUAGGGUGCAAGCAUUAAUCGGAUUUAUUGGGCGUAAAGGGCGCGUAGGCGGAAUUGGAAGUCAGAUGUGAAAGCCCGGGGCUCAACCUCGGAACGGCAUUUGAUACUCUAAUUCUAGAGGAUAGGCGGAGAAAAUGGAAUUCCACAAGUAGCGGUGAAAUGCGUAGAUAUGUGGAAGAACACCAGUGGCGAAGGCGGUUUUCUAGCUUAUACCUGACGCUGAGGCGCGAAAGCAAGGGGAGCAAACAGG
rnacentral:rRNA from 1 species